rnacentral:lncRNA from 1 species
GCUGGUAUCUCUGCCUUCCUAUCAGCGCGAUUCCAUUGGGUGAGCAGAGUGCUUCCAGCAAGAUGUGUUAAAUCACAAUACAGAGUUACUAUUAUAACUACAGUUGAUAAUCUGCUGUGCCUGCAAGAACUUUGCCAAGCUGGGAGCACAAAGCAGAACUCUUCACACCAAGACCUGAACUGUCCCCAGAGGACCACACAGAGCUAUGCCCUUGGCUCCUGGAGAACCACAGCAGCUCCAAGGUGUUCACAACACUGUCUUUUGCCUGCUGUAUGGACCAGAAGCCAAAGGAAGACUUCAGGAGCCCAAAGAAAAAGAACUUCAUUAGUUCUGAAGACUGCUCAGUAGGCAACAUGUUGAAUACAAGAUCAGUUUGAACUGUAGUUUUUCUGCAAGCUUCCAGUAUUGUCUUGUCAUCAGCCCGUGAGUCUUACGUGAAUGAUUCCUGCUC